UGUGGGAGAUGUUUUAUUGGCUUUCACUUUCCUCAGGGAGCCAGCGGCUCCCCCAGCAGGUCCCCACGGUGGAGCCGAGUGAGCUGGGAGGGAUGGGUGCUUACUUCGUUUCAAAGAGAUCUACAUAUCUACAGACAGGAUGGAGACCAGAAAGGAAUUGGGAAAUGGAAUCAUGAGGGCCGGGCCCUCAUCCCCACCCCACCCAGCCCACCCCCCACGCCAAUGCAUCAGAAACAGACUUCACAGGAUGCACAGAGGAAGCCAGAGGUGUGGGCGGGCCCGGGGGGCCGAGGCUGCGAGGGACCUCAAGGGAGAAUGCCACUGGCCUGUCCAAACCAGGCAGGAGAGAAAGUAAGAGGAGGAAAACAAUUGAGAACAUAACGAUUGUGUCUUCGUCAGCCGUUCCCCCGACGCCUCUGGAAACUGGCGAUUUCGUUUUUGAGUAAGGGCAAGAAGUGUCCUGCUCAAGCCACCCUCCGCUCAGGGAAGGCCACUGCCCGGCCAAGCCUUGUCUUUGAGGACGGUGCCUUCCCUGGGCAGAGAGGGGCUGCCCCGGCCCUGGGGCUCCAUAGCAGGGCACAAAAGGAGAGGCAGAGCCCCAGAGAGGGAAGGGGGCUCCUGGGGCCAGGCUGCUGAGAGGAAAUAAUUGCCUCUUUCUGGGUGAGGAAGAGCUGCCUUCCUGAUGGCUGGUGUCCUGGGAUCUGGGGCAUUUCUCUGGGGUAGCCAUUGAUGUCAUUUCCUUAGCAGCAGGAGAGCGGGUGAGAAUUCCCAGGAGACCUCGGCCUGGGUGGGCGCUUGGUGGAGAGUGGGCUCAGAUGAGGUCUUCAGAUGGCAGCAGUAGGCUCUGGCUGCUUGGGGUCCACCAGGAGCUGGACCAGGCCUCCUAGGUCCUGCUGAGAAGCAGGUAGGGGAGGUGACCUGCAGCUCUGUCUCCCUUGGGGAUCUCAGUUCCUGUUGAGACCCACAGCCUGAAGACCUCUGUCCUCAGGGUCUCUCCUCAUCACACAAGAUGGGGAGACUGAGGCCCAGGGGUGGGAAGGGCCAGCCAAGUCUCACGGGGAACUUGGGGGUUUUCAAGCCCUGGGCCAUGGCUCUGCCCACCCUGACGAGCCCCGGGCUGCCUCCGUGCACUGCCGCUUGCUGGCCCUGUUUCUGGCUGAGCACUGGGUCUAUACAUUUCAACCUUGCCUCUCCCACGGCAGGGGGACUGCGGCAUGGCCUCUCCCUCUCCCCGUGCCUCCCUCUGCCACCAAAAAGCUGGUCAGGGCGGAGCAUCCCAAGGGCCCUGAUGCCCCUGAAAGUCUCCCUUCUAGGGGGCAGCCGGUUCAUCUUCAGGGAGCUCAGCACGUGUCUCAGCCUAGGCAGACGCUUGGCACUUGAACCCGGAAGAGUGUGUGUGUGAGAGAGAGAGAGGGAGAGAUGGGUAGGGGAGAGAGAGGGAAAAAUGGAGAGAAAGAGGCCGGAGUUCAAGGUGGAGGAGCAGAAUCCUUGGUCUGCAAUUGCCAGGGAGGGCCUUGCUGCAGGGCCCUGGGCCUCACUGAGGUCAUCCCUUCCUUGAGCAGGUGAGAAGGGUGAGACCCAGGGAGGGGGUGACACAUGGAGACCUCCUGGGAAGGCCAGGUUGUUGGGUCUGAGACAGAAUCAUCAGGAGUAACGGCGGCCUCUAUGCCUGAGAGCCCUGGUGCAUGCCCAGCCGGCCGUAUGGUCACCUGGUCCUUCUAGCCCCAGGUGGGUGUGCCACAGGAAUCCCCCCAUUGUCUCAGGACCUUCAAGGCCAGGAUCCCGGGGGCGGGCCCAGGUCACACGUCGGUGCUGAUGGUGCGGCUCCUGGCGAAGGCCUCCCGCAUGGCUGAGAGGCGGUUGGGGUUGAGCGCCUGCAGGCCCCCGAAGCCCCCCGGGGGCAGCUCCACGUCCUCCUGGCUCACGCUCCUGUAGAGCACGCGCUCCCCGCCGUUCAGCACGUCCUCUUCCUCCUCCGGCGGCUCCUGCAGGAAGAAGGUGGGGGGCUCGCAGUGGGAGCAGCUGCGGCAGAGGGCGCGGGCCUGCGGGGACUUCUGGCUGAAGGAGGUGGAGGUGGUGGGGUAGAGCGCCGGCCCGUUGGUCAGCACCAGGUUGCGGUUGGAGUGCAGCGGGGGCAGGUGCGAGUGAACGGCGAAGUCUGGUUCCUCCUCGUCCUCCUCCGACUCGUCCUUCUUGCAGCAGUAGUACUGC
rnacentral:lncRNA from 1 species